rnacentral:rRNA from 1 species
GAUGAACGCUGGCGGCGUGCCUAAUACAUGCAAGUCGAGCGAACAGACGAGGAGCUUGCUCCUCUGACGUUAGCGGCGGACGGGUGAGUAACACGUGGAUAACCUACCUAUAAGACUGGGAUAACUUCGGGAAACCGGAGCUAAUACCGGAUAAUAUAUUGAACCGCAUGGUUCAAUAGUGAAAGACGGUUUUGCUGUCACUUAUAGAUGGAUCCGCGCCGCAUUAGCUAGUUGGUAAGGUAACGGCUUACCAAGCAAACGAUGGGUAGCCGACCUGAGAGGGUGAUCGGCCACACUGGAACUGAGACACGGUCCAGACUCCUACGGGAGGCAGCAGUAGGGAAUCUUCCGCAAUGGGCGAAAGCCUGACGGAGCAACGCCGCGUGAGUGAUGAAGGUCUUCGGAUCGUAAAACUCUGUUAUUAGGGAAGAACAAAUGUGUAAGUAACUAUGCACGUCUUGACGGUACCUAAUCAGAAAGCCACGGCUAACUACGUG